rnacentral:rRNA from 1 species
GGGUGACGAGCGGCGGACGGGUGAGUAAUGUCUGGGAAACUGCCUGAUGGAGGGGGAUAACUACUGGAAACGGUAGCUAAUACCGCAUAACGUCGCAAGACCAAAGAGGGGGACCUUCGGGCCUCUUGCCAUCAGAUGUGCCCAGAUGGGAUUAGCUAGUAGGUGGGGUAAUGGCUCACCUAGGCGACGAUCCCUAGCUGGUCUGAGAGGAUGACCAGCCACACUGGAACUGAGACACGGUCCAGACUCCUACGGGAGGCAGCAGUGGGGAAUAUUGCACAAUGGGCGCAAGCCUGAUGCAGCCAUGCCGCGUGUGUGAAGAAGGCCUUCGGGUUGUAAAGCACUUUCAGCGAGGAGGAAGGUGGUGAACUUAAUACGUU